rnacentral:rRNA from 1 species
AAAGAUUAAGCCAUGCAUGUCUAAGUUCACGCUGCCUGCUAAAGUGAAACCACGAACGGCUCAUUAAAUCAGUUAUGGUUUGUUAGAGCCAGUUAUCCAGAAUGGAUAACUGUGGCAAUUCUAGAGCUAAUACAUGACAAACAUGCGCCUCUGCUCACGCGGAGGCGUGCUUUUAUUAGGCAACCUUGCGGUGGCACCCUCUUCGGGGGGAGCCUCUGCGCCAAAAGGUGGCGAGCUCUGUGUAACAUUGCCAAUCGCAAUGGGAAGCUAACCCAGCGAUGAUCUUUCAAGUGUCUGCUCUAUCAACUGUCGAUGGUAGGCUAUACGCCUACCAUGGUUGUGACGGGUGACGGGGAAUCAGGGUUCGAUUCCGGAGAGGGAGCCUGAGAAACGGCUACCACAUCUAAGGAAGGCAGCAGGCGCGUAACUUACCCAAUGCAGGCUCUGCGAGGUAGUGACGAAAAAUAACGAUGCGUGGCUCUUUGAGUCUACGUGAUCGGAAUGAGUACACUCUAAAUCCUUUAACAAGGACCUAUUGGAGGGCAAGUCUGGUGCCAGCAGCCGCGGUAAUUCCAGCUCCAAUAGCGUAUAUUAACGCUGUUGCGGUUAAAAAGCUCGUAGUUGAAAUCUUACGGGCCCGUGCAGUGGUCACCUCAGUCUGUGACGUGUGUGCGGGUUGCGUUCGGGGGUAGCUGCCCAUUGUCCUCUUCACUGAGUGGCUUUAGGUGCGGCUACCCAUGAUCACUUUGAUUAACUUAGAGUGCUCAAUGCAGGCCUAGCGCCCCAAUAUCAGUGCACAGAAUGAUGGAAUACGUUGCUGUUCCGUUUGUCUGGUUUCUGGAAAUGGCAAGAUGAUUGAGAGGAACUAUCGGAGGUGAACGUAUUGCCAGGCGAGAGGUGAAAUUCUUAGACCCUGGCAAGACGAACUAUAGCGAAAGCAUUCGCCGAGAGUGUUUUCAUUGAUCAAGAACGAAAGUUAGAGGUUCGAAGGCGAUUAGAUACCGCCCUAGUUCUAACCAUAAACGAUGCCAUCCUGCAAUCCGGCUCAGUUCUAUUAAGGUCUGGCCGGGCAGCCCCGAGAAAUCAGAGAUGGGUUCCGGGGGAAGUAUGGUUGCAAAGCUGAAACUUAAAGGAAUUGACGGAAGGGCACCACCAGGAGUGGGGCCUGCGGCUUAAUUUGACUCAACACGGAGAAACUUACUCGGCCCGGACUCCGGGAGGAUUGACAGAUUGAGAGCUCUUUCAUGAUUCGGCGGAUGGUGGUGCAUGGCCGUUCAUAGUUCGUGGAAUUGAUCCGUCUGGUUUAUUCCGACAACGAACGAGACUCUAGCCUAUUAAAUAGUCGCGGGUGUCGAAAGCCACCCGUGUACUUCUUAGAGGGACAAUGUGACUCUAGCACAAUGAAAGAGAGCUAUAACAGGUCUGUGAUGCCCUUAGAUGUUCGGGGCCGCACGCGCGCCACAAUGCUGGAGUAAGCGUGUUGAGAUCCUUGCUCGAGGGAGCAGGGCAACCCCUUGAACCUCUCUCAUGAUUGGGAUAGGGGCUUGCAACUGUUCCCCUUGAACGAGGAAUUCCCAGUAAGCACUAGUNNNNNNNNAGUGCUGAUUACGUCCCUGCCCUUUGUACACACCGCCCGUCGCUACUACCGAUCGAUGGUUUAGUAAGGUCAUCGGACUGGUCCUCUACUCUGGUCUCCGGAGUAAAAGGAACGGGAAGACGACCGAACUUGACCUUUGAAAGGAAGUAAAAGUCGUAACAAGGUU